rnacentral:rRNA from 1 species
UACGUAGGGUGCAAGCGUUAAUCGGAAUUACUGGGCGUAAAGCGUGCGCAGGCGGCUUUGCAAGACAGAUGUGAAAUCCCCGGGCUCAACCUGGGAACUGCAUUUGUGACUGCAUGGCUAGAGUACGGUAGAGGGGGGAUGGAAUUCCGCGUGUAGCAGUGAAAUGCGUAGAUAUGCGGAGGAACACCGAUGGCGAAGGCAAUCCCCUGGACCUGUACUGACGCUCAUGCACGAAAGCGUGGGGAGCAAACAGG